rnacentral:rRNA from 1 species
GAUGAACGCUAGCGGCAGGCCUAAUACAUGCAAGUCGGACGGGAUCCAUCGGAGAGCUUGCUCGAAGAUGGUGAGAGUGGCGCACGGGUGCGUAACGCGUGAGCAACCUACCUCUAUCAGGGGGAUAGCCUCUCGAAAGAGAGAUUAACACCGCAUAACAUCAACAGUUCGCAUGUCCGGUUGAUUAAAUAUUUAUAGGAUAGAGAUGGGCUCGCGUGACAUUAGCUAGUUGGUAGGGUAACGGCCUACCAAGGCGACGAUGGCUAGGGGCUCUGAGAGGAGAGUCCCCGUCUAUGGUACUGAGACACGGACCAGACUCCUACGGGAGGCAGCAGUAAGGAAUAUUGGUCAAUGGGCGGAAGCCUGAACCAGCCAUGCCGCGUGCAGGACGACUGCCCUAUGGGUUGUAAACUGCUUUUGUCCAGGAAUAAACCUCUUUACGUGUAGAGAGCUGAAUGUACUGGAAGAAUAAGGAUCGGCUAACUCCGUGCCAGCCGCCGCAGUAAGAC